rnacentral:lncRNA from 12 species
AUGACACUCCUUAUAUUCCAUUUUACUUUACAACUUCUUGUAAUUGUCUGGAUUUGUAGGUCCAGGAGCAGAGACCAUGUCCUAAUCAUCUUCAUAUAUUCUGCAGCACAUGGCAAAGGGCUCACACAUGAAAAAAAGAAAAUUCGGGAUCCCUGGGUGGCGCAGCGGUUUGGCGCCUGCCUUUGGCCCAGGGCGCGAUCCUGGAGACCCGGGAUCGAAUCCCACAUCGGGCUCCCGGUGCAUGGAGCCUGCUUCUCCCUCUGCCUGUGUCUCUGCCUCUCUCUCUCUCUCUCUGUGACUAUCAUAAAUAAAUAAAAAUUGAAAAAAAAUAUUAAAAAAAAAAAAGAAAAAAAGAAAAUUCUACCCUGAGGGAAUAUGAAGUUUAAGUCUGGCUAGAUUUAACUGAUGUUCAGUCAUCAUUCAUGGGGGUGCUCCCCAGCAUGGACUGUCACAUAUCGGGGGCCUAGAAAAAUGCCAAAUUCCUCCUCCUCUCUGAGUGACUGGAAAGAUGUCUAAGACCCUGGGCUGGAUCCUGGAGGAGCCUGGGGUAUGAUAGAACCCACAGAAUUUGAGAAAGGAAGUGCUGCAUUCUCUUGUGUUAGAAGACAUUGCUCACCACAUGAUUAUCUCUCUGUGCAGGUGUCAACUAUUGAGAUCAGCUGGUGUCACCUUUUGUCUUGCAGGGGUGAGAGCACAGCUUUCUUCUUGUAGAUGUUGGAAAGGAAACUUAGUUGGUUUCAGAGGUUGCCUAUGGCCCACUUAGCUCCGUUUGCUGCACACGGUCCAAGCAAGUGGCCAUUUCCCCAAUUGUCCAUGGGCCUCAGAGUCCCCUGGAGCCCAGGUGAAAUGGCAGGUUCCAGGGUGCCACUCACAGAGCUCUGAUUCAGAAUUUCUAUGGCAGGGUCCCAAGCUUUGCAGUUGAAGGUAGCUCUCCACAGGGUCAUGAGCUUGAGACAAAAAGUGGCUGAGAACAAAAAGUGUUGAUGACAGACAGCGGUGAGAGGCAUGCUGUUCGUUACUGCUGUGCAUUGGCCAUGCACAUGGCACUCUGGGUGUCAAACGUGCUAAGUGAUAUUCAUUUCUUCAUUUCUCCUGCUAGGUGCCAAUCCCCAUGCUACAUGCUGGGAAUACAGAAAUGAGUCAGCAAAAGCUCUUGCCCCAUGAAAUUCUUAGGCCAGUGUGUAUGGGCAAGUAGACAUCCAUAGACCUAGUACAAUAUAUGAAGACCGAUGGUGCCCUAAUGUAACAUGAACUCAGCUGGAAGAAUCAUGGAAUAAAAAUUUUCAUUGCCACUUAUUGAGCA